GGGGCUGGGGCUCAGCGGUAGAGCACUUGCCUAGCAUGUUUGAGGCACUGGGUUCAACCCUCAGCACCA
rnacentral:tRNA from 1 species